rnacentral:rRNA from 1 species
UACGUAGGGUGCGAGCGUUAAUCGGAAUUACUGGGCGUAAAGUGUGCGCAGGCGGCCGCGCAAGUCGAGUGUGAAAUCCCCGAGCUUAACUUGGGAAUUGCGCUCGAAACUACGUGGCUGGAGUGUGGCAGAGGAAGGUGGAAUUCCACGUGUAGCGGUGAAAUGCGUAGAUAUGUGGAGGAACACCGAUGGCGAAGGCAGCCUUCUGGGCCAACGCUGACGCUCAUGCACGAAAGCGUGGGGAGCAAACAGG